GAUGAACGCUGACAGAAUGCUUAACACAUGCAAGUCAACUUGAAUUUGGGUUUUUAACUUCGGUUUGGGUGGCGGACGGGUGAGUAACGCGUAAAGAACUUGCCUCGCAGCUAGGGACAACAUUUGGAAACGAAUGCUAAUACCUAAUAUUAUGAUAAUAGGGCAUCCUAUAAUUAUGAAAGCUAUAAGCGCUGUGAGAGAGCUUUGCGUCCCAUUAGCUAGUUGGAGAGGUAACGGCUCACCAAGGCGAUGAUGGGUAGCCGGCCUGAGAGGGUGAUCGGCCACAAGGGGACUGAGACACGGCCCUUACUCCUACGGGAGGCAGCAGUGGGGAAUAUUGGACAAUGGACCAAGAGUCUGAUCCAGCAAUUCUGUGUGCACGAUGAAGUUUUUCGGAAUGUAAAGUGCUUUCAGUUGGGAAGAAAGAAAUGACGGUACCAACAGAAGAAGUGACGGCUAAAUACGUG
rnacentral:rRNA from 1 species